rnacentral:sRNA from 1 species
GACACUGUCCCAGCUGCCACCUAGACUCGGAGCUCCCUCCAAACCUCCAGCGAAGACAUCCCAGCCAUGGCCAUGCAGAAAAUCUUUGCCCGGGAAAUCUUGGACUCCAGGGGCAACCCCACGGUGGAGGUGGACCUGCACACGGCCAAGGGCCGAUUCCGAGCAGCUGUGCCCAGUGGGGCUUCCACGGGUAUCUAUGAGGCUCUGGAACUAAGAGACGGAGACAAAGGCCGCUACCUGGGGAAAGGAGUCCUGAAGGCUGUGGAGAACAUCAACAAUACUCUGGGCCCUGCUCUGCUGCAAAAGAAACUAAGCGUUGUGGAUCAAGAAAAAGUUGACAAAUUUAUGAUUGAGCUAGAUGGGACCGAGAAUAAGUCCAAGUUUGGGGCCAAUGCCAUCCUGGGCGUGUCCUUGGCCGUGUGUAAGGCGGGAGCAGCUGAGAAGGGGGUCCCCCUGUACCGCCACAUCGCAGAUCUCGCUGGGAACCCUGACCUCAUACUCCCAGUGCCAGUGAGUGCAGCUACCCGCCCUUCCCAGAUCUCGCCUGGACAGAGCCAACCCCGCCCAGCCAGGGUUGCCCCCCUGGAAAAUCCACCUUUCAGACCAGCUCCUAAGAAGCAGUUUCCUGAAAUUGAAUCUCUCCUGCUGUGGUCCCACCCCUCCCUCUUUUCCACAAUCCAAACCUUCCCUGAAGGCUCUAUGGGCUUCCUUCCCUGCCAUAUAACCCAGUUCCUUCCCAUUCCAAUCCUAGGCUCGAUAACUCCAGCCUCGUUCCAACACCACACCCUACACCCAAAUCAUAUUGAGAGUUUCUUUGAGGCAAAGAUCUUGGCAUUUCUUUGUAUCUUCUUGAGUCCUUCUUAAACCAGUGCCUUCUUGAUGAAUGGAA